ACCAGCAGCCAUAUCACCCUGCAACUCACAACUGGCAGCCCACUGAAGCUAAGCAGGUGUUAGCCUGGUCAAUACCUGGAUGGGAGACCUCCUGGGAAAAACUAAGGUUGCUGCUGGAA
ensembl:rRNA 5S_rRNA 5S ribosomal RNA